AACAUAGAAUGAAAUCUUACUUAUAAAGUGAUCAAAAAAUAAAAUUAUAUUCAUUACAUGCAAAAGAAGAAAAAUAUGGCUCAAAUGCACUUGUUUGUUUAUAUUUUCAUCAUCAUUCUCUCUCUAUUUAUUGCAGUAACCAAUGCUCUCAUAUUCUGCUUUGAAGACAUUAAUUGUCCAUUUGAUAAGUGUUUCCCUCAACUUCCGAAGUGCAUAAAUUCAUUUUGUGAGUGUGUGUAGACAACAAUUAAGUUGAAAAUUAAAUAUCCUUUCUAAGAAAAAAAAGUUUAAAAUAAUAUAGGUUCUGUUUUUGUUCUAUUGGUUGAUGUUUUGGUUCUGAAAAAUUAAAUAUAUCGCCAAGCAUAUAAUUAUAUUUGUGUGCUAUACUAUUUGUAUUUUUAUAAUUCAUCUCAAAUUGUUAAGUAUGUUUUUUAAUUUUUCAGUUUUUAUAACAA